rnacentral:rRNA from 1 species
AUUGAACGCUGGCGGCAGGCUUAACACAUGCAAGUCGAGCGGGGGAAGGUAGCUUGCUACCGGACCUAGCGGCGGACGGGUGAGGAAUGCUUAGGAAUCUGCCUAUUAGUGGGGGACAACAUCUCGAAAGGGAUGCUAAUACCGCAUACGUCCUACGGGAGAAAGCAGGGGAUCUUCGGCCCUUGCGCUAAUAGAUGAGCCUAAGUCGGAUUAGCUAGUUGGUGGGGUAAAGGCCUACCAAGGCGACGAUCUGUGGCGGGUCUGAGAGGAUGAUCCGCCACACUGGGACUGAGACACGGCCCAGACUCCUACGGGAGGCAGCAGUGGGGAAUAUUGGACAAUGGGGGGAACCCUGAUCCAGCCAUGCCGCGUGUGUGAAGUAGGCCUUAUGGUUGUAAAGCACUUUAAGCGAGGAGGAGGCUACUUUAGUUAAUACCUAUAGAUAGUGGACGUUACUCGGAGAAUAAGCACCGGCUAACUCUGUGCCAGCAGCCGCAGUAA